rnacentral:rRNA from 1 species
GAUGAACGCUGGCGGCGUGCCUAAUACAUGCAAGUCGAGCGAACGGACGAGAAGCUUGCUUCUCUGAUGUUAGCGGCGGACGGGUGAGUAACACGUGGAUAACCUACCUAUAAGACUGAGAUAACUUCGGGAAACCGGAGCUAAUACCGGAUAAUAUUUUGAACCGCAUGGUUCAAAAGUGAAAGACGGUCUUGCUGUCACUUAUAGAUGGAUCCGCGCUGCAUUAGCUAGUUGGUAAGGUAACGGCUUACCAAGGCAACGAUGCAUAGCCGACCUGAGAGGGUGAUCGGCCACACGGGAACUGAGGCACGGUCCAGACUCCUACGGGAGGCAGCAGUAGGGAAUCUUCCGCGAUGGGCGAAAGCCUGACGGAGCAACGCCGCGUGAGUGAUGAAGGUCUUCGGAUCGUAAAACUCUGUUAUUAGGGAAGAACAUAUGUGUAAGUAACUGUGCACAUCUUGACGGUACCUAAUCAGAAAGCCACGGCUAACUACGUG